rnacentral:tRNA from 1 species
GGAAGGUUGGGAGAGUGGUUUAAUCCGCCAGCUUGGAAAGUUGGUGUGUCAGCAAUGGCACCAUGAGUUCGAAUCUCAUACCUUCCGCCA